UACAAGAAAUAUGGGCUAAUACAACGAAGUGAUCUGUAAGGACUUGGCAAUUCGUUGCAUUUAGUUGGAUUAUAUAACGAAUUGUACAAGUCUUUGCUUUUGGUUCGAAGGAUACGUAAGGAAUACAGAAAGUCCUUGCAUUAGGUUAGUCAAACUGAGAAAAAAUAUAAAAUCGUUGUAUAAACUUUUAAUUUCCUUGCAUCGACCGAGCGGGAUCUUUGGCGCUCACAUUAUUUGCUUCUUUUAAAUUUGUUUUCCUUUUUACUCUCUCUCUCUCUCACUCACUCAUUUCCCCAUCUCUCCUUAGAUCCGCUCACUCUCAAAAAUCCAGACCGAAGAACACACCAAACAGUAAACACCAAAUAACCAAAAUCUGAAUCAGACCUCCGCCAUCCGUCCCGUCAUCCUUCUCUCUCAGCUUCUCAAAUCCUGUUUCGCUUCCUUUGAAAUCCAAUCUGUACCCAAAUUCCUAAUACCCAAAUCAUAAACCCUAACACCGCAGCCCCAAACACCUCCUUCAAUCUCACAUGCUCUCUCUUGAUUCUUUAAUCCUUUGUCUUCUCUGUUUUUCGAUAAGGAUUGGGUUAGUUCUAUGAGGCUGAGUUAAUCAUCGGCUCAUGACAGAUUACCAAAGACUAAAUAUGGGUUUCCAGAUCACCGAGCUGUGCAUGACUAGCCAUCUCAUUCUGGUUACUCUACUUUGCCGUUUUGGAUACGUAUUAUCGGACCUUUUCUGCUUCUCAUUGAUUUCUUGUCGCUAGUUUGGUAUUUUCUGCCUUUUGGUUUACCUAUAGUCUAUUUUUGGUAAAUUGAAGUUAAUUUUUUGGUUUUUAAUUGUGAUUCUGUCAAGAGAUUCUAUGGGUAGUAGGCUCAGAGCUAAUCUGUAGGUUGCAGAGGUCUUUGCUUUGGCUAUAUUUGCAGGUUUGCCCGUUUGUUGCAUUUGUGUUUGGGUCUUAGAGGGCCUAGCAUACUGGUAAUUGAUGAGCAGAGAGGAGAGUUUGUUUCCAAGAGUACAAAGUUCGUGGACCGUUUUAUUGCAUUAGAUCCUCUGAAAGAACAAAACAAAGUUAUUUAUCAAAUUUUCAAUGUUAUUAAGAAUGCUCCUCUUUCACUUAAAGCUAUAAUUUGUUGUAUCUUCUUUCACUUUAAUGAUCGCACACAUUAACUUUGCUCAAGGACACAUUAGAUAAACAUACACAGCGUAUAUUAGUACAUGCACUGACUCUUAGUCCAAACUGGCUUUGAGCUUGUUACCUUCAUUAUGAGCUUUGAAUAUCUUCUCUUCCUACUUGUUAUUUUCAGCGCCUUUGCAUGAUGGACAAGUGAACUGACCCCAGGUGAUGCUAUUAUGUGCUUGUUGGAUUAUAUGGUAAGGCAAUACUAGUAAUCCAGUACGUAAUACCAAAAUUCUCAUCCUUACAUGUAACCAGUAAGAGUGGGCUAGCACUAAGAAAGUCAAUGGAGUUGUCAAGCUGAUGAAGCUCUCUACAUAGAUAUGUACCCUAGCUAGAUACCUCUUUUUUUUUUCUUUAACUGUUACUGAUUCUUUAUCUCCUCUGCCUUCUCUCUCCAUUAGAUCUAAUCUUAUAUAGCUUUUGUUCUUUAUAUACAUGUCUAUUUCUUACUAUUUUUAUCUUUCUAGUUUCUACUCACUGAAAGGAUAUAUGUACAUCUGGUGUGUGAGUGCCUUGUCAUAGAUUUCAACAUGCUUGAAUUCAUAUAUUUUAAAGAGUAUAGCCUUUUUUGUUUGCAUCAGAUUUUCACUCAGCUAUGGUACAUGCAAAUUUUAACUAGAUUAUGAUGCAUGCAGGAUAAGUUUUGAGGCAAAUUUGUGUUCACUGCAGUAAGCUAUAGCUCUGUGAGUGAAGCAUCUGCAUUAGGCAACUUGGACCCAGAUUCCCCUUAUUUCUUGAUGUUAUUUUCAGGCUCUAUGUCGGACAUCCUUUUGUUCACCAUUAAAUUAGCACUGCUUCAGCUAGAAGUGUUAUGUGGUUGUAAACUUGUAAAUAAG